AUGGAGUUAGAGUCCACUCACGAUGAUGAGGACAUCAGCAACAUUGAUACGGCUAGUGGCAGUGAUGACGAGGGAUGUGACAGAGAGGCUGUGUGGCUUGAAUCUGAAAACGAAACAGAGGCAACAUCGGAAAGUGAUCUGGGGAGUGACUUGGCAGAUUGGGCAUUGGCUAACAAACUUACCCAUAAGUCAGUAAAUGAGCUGUUGCAAAUCCUACAACGACACGGACAUGAAGAUUUGCCAAGGGACUCGAGGACCCUUCUGUCAACUCCAAAAGUAGUGAGCUUGCAGGAGCGAUGUAAUGGCCGCUACAUUUACUAUGGUUUAGAGAGAGGCACACAAAGAGCACUUCAACAGUCUCCUGCCUGUAUAGACCGAAUUUCCUUGUGCAUAAAUGUGGAUGGUGUGCCAAUUUUCAAGUCAAGUGGGACUCAGUUCUGGCCCAUCCUGGCAAAGGCAGAGGAAUCAGAGCCAUUCAUAGUCGCACUUUACAGUGGCACAUCCAAGCCUGAGCCUCUACAAGAGUACUUAAAAGACUUCGUGGAAGACAUCAAUAAUCUCUCAACUAGUGGCUUUCAAUAUAACGGGGCAAUUGUGAAAAUUACGGUGAAAGCCUUCAUCUGUGAUGCCCGAGCAAGGGCUUUUCUUAAAAACAUCAUCUAUCAUACAGGCUAUAAUAGCUGUGAGAGGUGUGAGGAGCUGGGUGAAUGGAAAGGAAGAGUGGUGUUCAACUCAAAAGAGAAAUUCCCUAGUAGGACAGAUGAAAAGUUCUGCCAGGUAGCCUACAAAGGACACCAACAUGGAGAGACCCCACUGUUAAGAGCAGGAGUACCAUGUGUGACGUCAUUCGUCCUCGAUUAUAUGCACCUUGUGUGCCUUGGUGUUGUAAGGCGAAUUCUGCAUUUUCUCUGCCGUGUGACCAACCCCCGGAAACUAUCUACCAGGCAGAGAUCUGAAUUGUCUACAAGACUUGUAGGGCUAAGAAAUGAAAUGCCAAGUGAGGUGGCAAGGAAGCCCAGGGCAGUCACCGAGUUGGAUCGAUGGAAGGCGACAGAGUUCCGCCAGUUCCUUCUUUACACGGGACCUGUGGUCCUUGAUGGACAGGUUGAUCAAGAUGUGUACGAUCAUUUUCUCUGUCUGACAGUGGGAAUGUCCAUCCUGCUUACCACCGAUGCCAACAGGAGGAACACUCUACUCCAAUAUGCAGCUGACCUGCUGACCUAUUUUGUUAACAGUUGUCAAGAUAUCUAUGGAGACAGAUUCACAGUCUACAAUGUGCAUGCGUUAAAGCACAUUCAUGAGGAUGUUGCACAUUUCAGUUGCUCUUUGAAUGAGAUUUCUGCCUUUCCAUUUGAGAAUUUCAUGCAAACCAUCAAGAAAAUGGUCAGAACAAGUCAUGAUCCGCUGACGCAAGUGGCAAAGCGACUGGCAGAGAGGCAGGAUCUGCAGGGGGCAAAAUCAAAACAGGCCAAAGAAAGACUUACCGUUUCAGUGAGGCCCAAGGAUGCCUGCUUCGUCCUAGGGGACAAGAGUGUGGCCAUCAUAGAAGAAGUUGGAGAAAAUGGAAAUUUCAAUUGCAGAUUUAUUCCUGAAAAGCACACGUCAAACCUUUUCAUAACGCCAUGUGAAUCAAAGCUGAUCGAUAUAGCAUUUAUUGGCAAUACCACAUACCGCAUGGCAAGCACAAAAAUCCUUCAAUCCAGUGACCUAAAGAGGAAAGCUGUGUGCAUCCCAUACAGAAGGGGGCAUGCAAUUUUUCCACUUCUGCAUAAUUGA
ensembl:lncRNA